rnacentral:rRNA from 1 species
AUUGAACGCUGGCGGCAGGCCUAACACAUGCAAGUCGAGCGGAGCGGCGGACGGGUGAGUAAUGCCUAGGAAUCUGCCUGGUAGUGGGGGAUAACGUCCGGAAACGGGCGCUAAUACCGCAUACUAUCAGAUGAGCCUAGGUCGGAUUAGCUAGUUGGUGGGGUAAAGGCCUACCAAGGCGACGAUCCGUAACUGGUCUGAGAGGAUGAUCAUUCAAACUUGAACUGAGACACGGUCCAGACUCCUACGGGAGGCAGCAGUGGGGAAUAUUGGACAAUGGGCGGAAGCCUGAUCCAGCCAUGCCGCGUGUAUGAAGAAGGCCGUCGGGUUGUAAAGUACUUUCAGUCGGGAGGCGUUACCGACAGAAGAAGCACGGGCUAACUCCGUGCCAACAGCCACGGUAAUAC